rnacentral:rRNA from 1 species
UUAAGCGACUAAGCGUACACGGUGGAUGCCCUGGCAGUCAGAGGCGAUGAAGGACGUGCUAAUCUGCGAUAAGCGUCGGUAAGGUGAUAUGAACCGUUAUAACCGGCGAUUUCCGAAUGGGGAAACCCAGUGUGAUUCGUCACACUAUCAUUAACUGAAUCCAUAGGUUAAUGAGGCGAACCGGGGGAACUGAAACAUCUAAGUACCCCGAGGAAAAGAAAUCAACCGAGAUUCCCCCAGUAGCGGCGAGCGAACGGGGAGCAGCCCAGAGCCUGAAUCAGUGUGUGUGUUAGUGGAAGCGUCUGGAAAGGCGCGCGAUACAGGGUGACAGCCCCGUACACAAAAAUGCACAUGCUGUGAGCUCGAUGAGUAGGGCGGGACACGUGGUAUCCUGUCUGAAUAUGGGGGGACCAUCCUCCAAGGCUAAAUACUCCUGACUGACCGAUAGUGAACCAGUACCGUGAGGGAAAGGCGAAAAGAACCCCGGCGAGGGGAGUGAAAAAGAACCUGAAACCGUGUACGUACAAGCAGUGGGAGCACGCUUAGGCGUGUGACUGCGUACCUUUUGUAUAAUGGGUCAGCGACUUAUAUUCUGUAGCAAGGUUAACCGAAUAGGGGAGCCGAAGGGAAACCGAGUCUUAACUGGGCGUUAAGUUGCAGGGUAUAGACCCGAAACCCGGUGAUCUAGCCAUGGGCAGGUUGAAGGUUGGGUAACACUAACUGGAGGACCGAACCGACUAAUGUUGAAAAAUUAGCGGAUGACUUGUGGCUGGGGGUGAAAGGCCAAUCAAACCGGGAGAUAGCUGGUUCUCCCCGAAAGCUAUUUAGGUAGCGCCUCGUGAAUUCAUCUCCGGGGGUAGAGCACUGUUUCGGCAAGGGGGUCAUCCCGACUUACCAACCCGAUGCAAACUGCGAAUACCGGAGAAUGUUAUCACGGGAGACACACGGCGGGUGCUAACGUCCGUCGUGAAGAGGGAAACAACCCAGACCGCCAGCUAAGGUCCCAAAGUCAUGGUUAAGUGGGAAACGAUGUGGGAAGGCCCAGACAGCCAGGAUGUUGGCUUAGAAGCAGCCAUCAUUUAAAGAAAGCGUAAUAGCUCACUGGUCGAGUCGGCCUGCGCGGAAGAUGUAACGGGGCUAAACCAUGCACCGAAGCUGCGGCAGCGACGCUGAUGCGUUGUUGGGUAGGGGAGCGUUCUGUAAGCCUGCGAAGGUGUGCUGUGAGGCAUGCUGGAGGUAUCAGAAGUGCGAAUGCUGACAUAAGUAACGAUAAAGCGGGUGAAAAGCCCGCUCGCCGGAAGACCAAGGGUUCCUGUCCAACGUUAAUCGGGGCAGGGUGAGUCGACCCCUAAGGCGAGGCCGAAAGGCGUAGUCGAUGGGAAACAGGUUAAUAUUCCUGUACUUGGUGUUACUGCGAAGGGGGGACGGAGAAGGCUAUGUUGGCCGGGCGACGGUUGUCCCGGUUUAAGCGUGUAGGCUGGUUUUCCAGGCAAAUCCGGAAAAUCAAGGCUGAGGCGUGAUGACGAGGCACUACGGUGCUGAAGCAACAAAUGCCCUGCUUCCAGGAAAAGCCUCUAAGCAUCAGGUAACAUCAAAUCGUACCCCAAACCGACACAGGUGGUCAGGUAGAGAAUACCAAGGCGCUUGAGAGAACUCGGGUGAAGGAACUAGGCAAAAUGGUGCCGUAACUUCGGGAGAAGGCACGCUGAUAUGUAGGUGAAGUCCCUCGCGGAUGGAGCUGAAAUCAGUCGAAGAUACCAGCUGGCUGCAACUGUUUAUUAAAAACACAGCACUGUGCAAACACGAAAGUGGACGUAUACGGUGUGACGCCUGCCCGGUGCCGGAAGGUUAAUUGAUGGGGUCAGCGCAAGCGAAGCUCUUGAUCGAAGCCCCGGUAAACGGCGGCCGUAACUAUAACGGUCCUAAGGUAGCGAAAUUCCUUGUCGGGUAAGUUCCGACCUGCACGAAUGGCGUAAUGAUGGCCAGGCUGUCUCCACCCGAGACUCAGUGAAAUUGAACUCGCUGUGAAGAUGCAGUGUACCCGCGGCAAGACGGAAAGACCCCGUGAACCUUUACUAUAGCUUGACACUGAACAUUGAGCCUUGAUGUGUAGGAUAGGUGGGAGGCUUUGAAGUGUGGACGCCAGUCUGCAUGGAGCCGACCUUGAAAUACCACCCUUUAAUGUUUGAUGUUCUAACGUUGACCCGUAAUCCGGGUUGCGGACAGUGUCUGGUGGGUAGUUUGACUGGGGCGGUCUCCUCCUAAAGAGUAACGGAGGAGCACGAAGGUUGGCUAAUCCUGGUCGGACAUCAGGAGGUUAGUGCAAUGGCAUAAGCCAGCUUGACUGCGAGCGUGACGGCGCGAGCAGGUGCGAAAGCAGGUCAUAGUGAUCCGGUGGUUCUGAAUGGAAGGGCCAUCGCUCAACGGAUAAAAGGUACUCCGGGGAUAACAGGCUGAUACCGCCCAAGAGUUCAUAUCGACGGCGGUGUUUGGCACCUCGAUGUCGGCUCAUCACAUCCUGGGGCUGAAGUAGGUCCCAAGGGUAUGGCUGUUCGCCAUUUAAAGUGGUACGCGAGCUGGGUUUAGAACGUCGUGAGACAGUUCGGUCCCUAUCUGCCGUGGGCGCUGGAGAACUGAGGGGGGCUGCUCCUAGUACGAGAGGACCGGAGUGGACGCAUCACUGGUGUUCGGGUUGUCAUGCCAAUGGCACUGCCCGGUAGCUAAAUGCGGAAGAGAUAAGUGCUGAAAGCAUCUAAGCACGAAACUUGCCCCGAGAUGAGUUCUCCCUGACUCCUUGAGAGUCCUGAAGGAACGUUGAAGACGACGACGUUGAUAGGCCGGGUGUGUAAGCGCAGCGAUGCGUUGAGCUAACCGGUACUAAUGAACCGUGAGGCUUAACCU